rnacentral:rRNA from 1 species
AUUGAACGCUGGCGGAAUGCUUUACACAUGCAAGUCGAACGAUGAACCUUAGCUUGCUAAGGGAAUUAGUGGCGAACGGGUGAGUAAUGUAUCGGAACGUAUCCAAUAAUGGGGGAUAACUAGUCGGAAGAUUAGCUAAUACCGCAUACGUCCUACGGGAGAAAGCUAGGGACCUUCGGGCCUGGCGUUAAUGGAGCGGCCGAUAUCUGAUUAGCUAGUUGGUGGGGUAAAGGCUCACCAAGGCGACGAUCAGUAGCUGGUCUGAGAGGACGACCAGCCACACUGGAACUGAGACACGGUCCAGACUCCUACGGGAGGCAGCAGUGGGGAAUUUGGACAAUGGGCGAAAGCCUGAUCCAGCCAUUCCGCGUGAGUGAAGAAGGCCUUCGGGUUGUAAAGCUCUUUCGCAAGGGAAGAAAACUUAAGCUCUAACAUAGCUUGAGGUUGACGGUACCUUGAUAAGAAGCACCGGCUAACUACGUGCCAGCCGCCGCAGUAA